rnacentral:rRNA from 1 species
AGUCGAGGGGGCAGCAAUGUCACCGGCGAACGGGUGCGUAACGCGUAUGCAACCUACCUACAUCAGGGGGAUAGCCCUAGGAAACUGGGAUUAACACCGCAUAACAUAUGACAAGGCAUCUUGUUAUAUUGAAAUAUUUAUAGGAUGUAGAUGGGCAUGCGUAGGAUUAGCUAGUUGGUAAGGUAACGGCUUACCAAGGCAACGAUCCUUAGGGGCUCUGAGAGGAGUAUCCCCCACACUGGCACUGAGAUACGGGCCAGACUCCUACGGGAGGCAGCAGUAAGGAAUAUUGGGCAAUGGAAGCAACUCUGACCCAGCCAUGCCGCGUGCAGGAAGACGGUCCUCUGGAUUGUAAACUGCUUUUGAAUGGGAAGAAUGUGAUGCUUGCGAGCGUUAAUGACGGUACCAUUAGAAUAAGCCACGGCUAACUACGUGCCAGCAGCCGCGGUAAUACGUAGGUGGCGAGCGUUAUCCGGAUUUAUUGGGUUUAAAGGGUGCGUAGGCGGCUUAAUAAGUCGGUGGUUAAAAGUAGCAGCUUAACUGUUUUACAUGCCAUCGAUACUGUUGAGCUUGAGAUAUUUGGAGGCAGCUAGAAUUUCCGGUGUAGCGGUGAAAUGCUUAGAUACCGGAAGGAAUACCAAUUGCGAAGGCAGGUUGCUA